CGGGGAAUAUUGCGCAAUGGGCGAAAGCCUGACGCAGCGACGCCGCGUGAGGGAUGAAGGUUUUCGGAUCGUAAACCUCUGUCAGAAGGGAAGAAACUACGUUGUGCUAAUCAGCAGCGUACUGACGGUACCUUCAAAGGAAGCACCGGCUAACUCCGAGCCAGCAGCCGCGGUAAUACGGAGGGUGCAAGCGUUAAUCGGAAUUACUGGGCGUAAAGCGCACGUAGGCUGUAGUGUAAGUCAGGGGUGAAAUCCCACGGCUCAACCGUGGAACUGCCUUUGAUACUGCACAACUUGAAUCCGGGAGAGGGUGGCGGAAUUCCAGGUGUAGGAGUGAAAUCCGUAGAUAUCUGGAGGAACAUCAGUGGCGAAGGCGGCCACCUGGACCGGUAUUGACGCUGAGGUGCGAAAGCGUGGGGAGCAAACAG
rnacentral:rRNA from 1 species